rnacentral:rRNA from 1 species
AGCAGUCGCCGCGGUAAUACAGAGGGUGCGAGCGUUAAUCGGAUUUACUGGGCGUAAAGCGUGCGUAGGCGGCUAAUUGAGUCGGAUGUGAAAUCCCCGAGCUUAACUUGGGAAUUGCAUUCGAUACUGGUUAGCUAGAGUGUGGGAGAGGAUGGUAGAAUUCCAGGUGUAGCGGUGAAAUGCGUAGAGAUCUGGAGGAAUACCGAUGGCGAAGGCAGCCAUCUGGCCUAACACUGACGCUGAGGUACGAAAGCGUGGGGAGCAAACAGGAUUAGAUACCCCUGUAGUCCCUGUCUCUUAUAC